UUGAAUUUCUCGAGCUUUUUCGCUGUUGCUCAUCUUUUCGUCGGUUUACGCGCGCGACUCUAUCCAGCUUCCAACAUCGAUACCUGUCGAUCACGACGGAAGAUAAUAACGAGGAAACAACGUACGUACGAAACACUCGACAACGAGACGCGGUGCAAAGCUGGUCGAACGCUAGCUCGAGUUUGCGUGAAUCGACGACGACGACGAACGGAUUGGUGAUCGAUGCGGCAUAAACCCGAGGGGGCCGUACUCGCGAGCGCUGUGAAACGAGGGGUACGGCCCCGAUCGAGCUGACUACAGGAGUCGGCCUGAGGUGUCAGCUCCUCUUCGUCGGGCGUCGCGAAUACCGGACGCCAAGAACCACCGAAUGCCAGUGGAGUCUUUUGGGCGGGCUGGCCGUUUCACUCUUGUCGUCGGACUAGAAGAAGCUUGACCGGCCCGAAAAUGCUGUAUAUAUUCCACGUGGACACCGGCACUACCAUCACCUUCGACAUUAAAUUGGCGCUGCAGACUGUCGCCCAACUGAAGGAAGCGAUCGAGAGAGAAUGCGGCGUGGUCUCGGCGCACCAGGUGCUCCUGAUGAGCGGAGGCGAGAGCCUGGAACCAACCGCGCGUGUGUGCUCCUACUCGGCCGGAACCGACACGAAUCCGAUCUAUUUGUUCAGCAAGGCCGCCAUUGAGAGCCACCUUCCACCCACGCCGAGCAUAGAUUACGGUUCCGAUGUCGAUCUUCAGAAUCAGAUCGACGCGUCGCUCGCGAUGCCGGCCACUUACCAGACCUUGAUCGCCCGCGCCCAAUUGGCCCAGCAGUGCUGCGGACUGGCGCGGGAGCAGACGAGGAUCUGCGAGAGGCUGGUCCACGAUCAGCACCUUCAGCAGCAGGGUUGGGCAGCCGUGGUCGCGAAUCUGGAGGACAUCACUCAGAUGUUCCAGUCACGGGCCGACCUCCUGCAGCAGAGCUUCGCCGUUUACUUGUCGGAGAGGCAGCGGCACAUGGAACUACUCGAGAACUUCAACGGCGACCUGGGCACCCUGGCGAAAAUCCCGAUCCUGCCGGCGCUGAGGGCCCAGGCGGAAGGUUUGCUGAGCCCGGACGAGCAGCCGAGCCAGCCCGAGAAGGACUCGGAGGGGAGGGAGAAGGUUCUGAGCCUGCUUCGAUGGAUCUCGGCGAAGGACAAUCAGAGCAGCCUGGAGCAGGUGGCUGAGCAGUGCUCGAGGGGCCUGGAGCAGUUCGACGAGAGGGUGAUGGAGGCGUUGAAGGCCGAGGUGAACGCGGCCAUAGACAGCGCGAACAAGCAGGACAUGAAGGAGAUCAAGGGCCUGGGCGAGAGGUUGUUCGCAUUGGAGCAGCUGAUGGCCCAGACGAAGAAGCUGGUCCAGGAGCAGGGGGAGCUCGCCCAGGGCUUCCUCCAGAAUCAGAGCCGGGCGAACAACUUGGGCGACGCGAGCGUGCUGCCCGACCUGUGCACGUCGCACAGGCGCCAGCUGCUCGUCAUGCUGCAGAAUCACAACAAGUUGCGGGACAUAAGGCGUAGGUGCACGAAGGCGAAGGAGGAGCUGUCUGUGAACAUCUAUCAUCGGCUCAAGUGGAUCAUGUACGUGGAGAACAAGAUGAUGGAGGUGGACGGCAAGCUGGUCAUGUACCACGAGAGUCUGAAACGUUUGAGGAGGCACCUCGAGGUCCUUCAGCAGAUCCACCUCGCGCCCCAGAUGUACAUGAACGCCGUGGCCGAGGUGGUCAGGAGGAGAACGUUCUCCCAGGCUUUCCUCGUUUGGGCAAGCAACUUGGCCUGCCAAUUGCUCACCGUCCACAGCGAGGAAUUGGCCCGUAGAAGGGAGUUUCAGAGCAAAUUCGACGGCCACUUCCUCAACACCUUGUUCCCCGGCCUCGAGGACACGCCACCCCCAUUCGCCACCCAGGCGCCGUCCGUUUUCGACAACGGGCUGCCAAAGUUGACGGCGGAGGACAUGGAAUCUCUUAGAUCUCAGCUACCCGAUCUGGCGCUCACCAUCUCGUCGCCAGACUUGAACAGCAUCACUCAGUUCUUCCUGUCGAAGAGUCUCACCAGCACAGACGAGAACAACAAGGAGAAGGAUGGCGCUUCCAUGCGCGUGGACGUGGCCACCAAGGAGCAGGAACGAGCCAGAGCUCCGAUGCUGUUCGACAGGGGUGGUUUCGAAUCGGAGACGGACACGGAGGAGUUCGAGAAGAUCGGGCAGGGCGCCACGGACUCUAAACCGGAGUCGUUCGAUGGCGCGAAACAAACGCGUCAGAAGCAAUUGGAGGUUGGUGCCUCGCGAAGCGUCUCCCCCGCUUCCUCGACCUCGACUAACGUAUCCCCGCUUAAUUCGAAAGUCGCGGACCUGACGAACCGGUCAUCCUCCUCGAGCGAGCCUGGAUCCUUCCAUUUCCCCAGUCUGUCCGUGAGCGAGCGUCCGGCUCAGCUGAGCCCGCUAACCGAGUGCGCCGAGAACGGCGAGUCGAGCUGUUUGCUUCACCGUGCCAACCACUGUCUUCCCAAAUAUCACGAGGCGCCGUCGAGCACGAUGCCCGCCGAGGAGGCAAACUCCCUAAGCCCGAAUCCUCCCUCCUCCCUGUCACGGUCCGUGAUGUGCGACGGCCAGCAGCAGCACCAGCAGCAACGUCACCAGUUGUCGGGCAGCGGCGGUAGCAGCCCAUCCGUAGGAGUUGGGCCUACCGACUUCAUGGCUACCGAGUUUUACAUGGACGAGUCUCUGCCGAGCAGCCUCAGCGAGCAUCCCGCCGACGGCCAGCAUCAGGCUAUCGUUUCCCUUCUCCAGGAGAAUCUUGGGAACACGCGGGAGGAGGUGGAGAGGCUUCGUUCCAUGUUGAAAACGAUGAAGGCGGUGGUGUACGAGGCGUUGAGGUCCGUCCGCCAGGAGUUGGCCGUUCUCAGGGAUCGUUCGAACGAGGAGGCGGCCGGUUUCUCGAAGACGACCGACCAGGUCCGCGAGGCCCUCUCGUUGUACACCCGGGAGUGCGAUCGCCGUCUCCGUGAACGGGAGCAAGAGUUGACGGUGGACCACGAGCUCGAGAUGGCGGACGUGAAGAAGAUGAUCCAGAACCGGGAGGAGGAGAUAUGCGGGUUGAAACGGAGCGUGAUGGAGAAGGAGACGGAGCUGGCGGAGCACGAGCGGCUGAUAUCGACCAUGCGCCAGAAGCUGGAGAACGAGCAAACGGAGAUGAGAGAGCUGCAGACGCGGCUCCACCAACAGCUCGAGGAGGCGUUGGAGCAGGCGCGCGCCGAGAAGGAGUCGGCGGUGAAGAGCGCGAACGACGAGAGGUUCUUGGAGAUAGCGUCCCUCACCAAUUCCGUCACGCAAUGCCAGAAACGUAUCCAGGAAUUGGAGGAGAGUUUGGACACGGCGCGCAGCGAUCAGAAGAGGAUGGUGAAGGAGGCGACCGAAAAGCUGCAGAUGGAGUACAAGAGCGAGCUUCAAUCGAUCAGGAGCCGGUUCAAACUGAUGACCGCCUCCACGACCAUGGAGAGCAGCCCGACCGACAGCACCGACAGCAAGAUCGAAAGACCAGAUUUCAUCGAGUUGGCCGGUCACGUGUUGGCCUCGGCGUCGCAAGACAUGAAGCAGGAGAAAGCCAUAAGAACGAUCGAGGACGAGCGUACGACGGAUUGCGUGGCGAAGUUGGUCCACGAUCUUCGACUGGCCACGCAGGUGAUCGAGGAGAAGGACAGAGAGAUGGAGAUGUUCAGGAGAAGAGAGGUGGCGCUGACGGACGAGUGCAAGCGUUACAAGAGCACGAUCAGACGUUUGACCGAGUCGGAGACGUUCAAGAGCGAGGCGAGUUUGCACAAGGAGAGCAGCGACGAGCAGUUGGAAAUGAGUCAGAGCAGUCUGGAGGAGGUGGCCAAGAACUUGGAGACGGAGAAGGACGAGGUGGAGGUGUCGGAGUCGAAGAAGGUGCGGUUGGAGGCGAGCAGCAACGAUCCGACUUGCUGCCUCUCGAGGAGGCUCGAGUUGCUCGAGAACGAGAACAAGAGGUUGAGCGCCGAGUUGCAAUCGCUUCGCGAGAGCAAAGAGUCGGCCGAGGCGAAGAUCGAGGCGUUGGAGGCGGACAAGGUCCGGCUCGAGAUCGAGCUGGUGAAGGAACGGCCGAGGAACUUCGCCGACUCCUCCUCCUCGUCCGAGUGCCGCGAGAAGGACAUGAACGCCUCCGUGGCGGUGGUGUCCGAGUCGAGCGCGCGCAGGGACGCGGCGACCAGCCCGAAACCGCAGCGCCGAUGCGGCUGCACCACGUGCUUGACCCACGUUCAAAAGAAAAUGCAGAAAACGGCCACGAAGCUGACCGAGAUGGGCCACAUCACCGUGACCAGCUGCGAUCCCGGGGACAACGUGCUCAUGUUCUGGGAUCCGACCCACGGCACGUACACGUUGUACCAGGAGUCAACCACGCUCUACUUCCUCAACACGGAUUCCUCGUCCGAGUUGGAUCUCGGCUCGAAUCCCGACGAGUCGACGAAGAACACACAGAGCAUCGUCGAGGUUGUGGAUAAACAGUACUGUCACGCUAGAAAGUCAGAGAAUCGAUAUCGCGUACGACGCGGCACCAAAUUCUAUCGUGUGGUCGUGAAACCUGUGAGCAACAGUGCAGCUAUGUUGGCGAGCGUUCAGCAAGAAUAGAAUAGGAAGAAUGGAUAAAUAUAGUUGGAGAAGGAGGAAGAGAGAGUGAGAGAGAGAGAGAGAGAGAGUGAGAGAGAGAGAGAGAGAGAGGGGUCCGUCGAUUCUCCGCCAAUUCGAUAAACCCUGUGACCGCGGAUCCGCGUCGCGGGAAUGAACACUUGUGGCCUUGCACGUUCAGUUCAUCCGACACGCAACCGACACGGAUCCUUAGCAUACACGAUGUUCGCGAUCAUCCGGAAUUAUUCUCGGAUCAAGGCCAAAACCUGCCAGACCUUAUAUAGACGCAUCCUUCGAAUCAAGCUUGGAAAAGAGAAGAAAAAUUUUCUUCUUUUCGGAGGGAUCGAGAGAAAAAGGGAUACGUGUUCGUAUCACGGAGAUCGAGGAUCAGAGGAGAAAGGAUGCGCUGGCGUUUCAUUGUGAUAUAAAUAAUUUUUAAACGAGCGAAACAUAUUUGCCGAAUGCUGUGGUUAGCUGUGAAGCGUAACGAUGUUUGUAUUUCCGUUUUCGGUUUUCUCUUUUAUUUCUUUCUGUUUCAGACGAGACCGAACGUGAGAAUG